rnacentral:rRNA from 1 species
AUUGAACGCUGGCGGCAUGCUUUACACAUGCAAGUCGAACGGCAGCGCGGGGAGCUUGCUCCUUGGCGGCGAGUGGCGCACGGGUGAGUAAUACAUCGGAACGUGUCUUCUAGUGGGGGAUAACUGCCCGAAAGGGCAGCUAAUACCGCAUGAGACCUGAGGGUGAAAGCGGGGGAUCGCAAGACCUCGCUCUGGAAGAGCGGCCGAUGUCCGAUUAGCUAGUUGGUGAGGUAAAGGCUCACCAAGGCGACGAUCGGUAGCUGGUCUGAGAGGACGACCAGCCACACUGGGACUGAGACACGGCCCAG